AGAAUCAACGCUGGCGGCGUGCCUAACACAUGCAAGUCGAACGAGAAAGGGGUAGCAAUACCCUGAGUAAAGUGGCGCACGGGUGAGUAACACGUGACUAACCUACCCUUGAGUGGGGGAUAACUGAGGGAAACCUUAGCUAAUACCGCAUAAUACCCACGGGUCAAAGGAGCAAUUCGCUCGAGGAGGGGGUCGCGGCCGAUUAGUUAGUUGGCGGGGUAAUGGCCCACCAAGACGAUGAUCGGUAUCCGGCCUGAGAGGGCGCACGGACACACUGGAACUGAAACACGGUCCAGACUCCUACGGGAGGCAGCAGUGGGGAAUUUUGCGCAAUGGGGGAAACCCUGACGCAGCAACGCCGCGUGGAGGAUGAAGUCCUUCGGGACGUAAACUCCUUUCGAUCGGGACGAUUAUGACGGUACCGGAAGAAGAAGCCCGGCUAACUUCGUGCCAGCAGCCGC
rnacentral:rRNA from 1 species